UACGUAGGGCGCAAGCGUUGUCCGGAAUUAUUGGGCGUAAAGAGCUCGUAGGUGGUUUGUCGCGUCUGUCGUGAAAGCCCGGGGCUUAACUCCGGGUCUGCGGUGGAUACGGGCAGACUAGAGGCAGGUAGGGGAGAACGGAAUUCCCGGUGUAGCGGUGAAAUGCGCAGAUAUCGGGAGGAACACCGACGGCGCAGGCAGCGUCCUGGCCGCUUGCUGACACUGAGGCACGAAAGCUGGGGGAGCAAACAGG
rnacentral:rRNA from 1 species